CUACGGAGGGUGCGAGCGUUAAUCGGAAUUACUGGGCGUAAAGCGUACGUAGGCGGUUUGCUAAGUCAGAUGUGGAAGCCCCGGGCUUAACCUGGGAACUGCAUUUGAUACUGGCAGACUAGAGUAUGAUAGAGGGGGGUAGAAUUCCUGGUGUAGCGGUGAAAUGCGUAGAUAUCAGGAGGAAUACCAGUGGCGAAGGCGGCCCCCUGGAUCAAUACUGACGCUGAGGUACGAAAGCGUGGGGAGCGAACAGGAUUAGAAACCCUAGUAGUCC
rnacentral:rRNA from 1 species